UACGUAGGGUCCGAGCGUUUGUCCGGAAUUAUUGGGCGUAAAGGGCUCGUAGGCGGUUCGUCACGUCGGGAGUGAAAACUCGGGGCUUAACCCCGAGCCUGCUUCCGAUACGGGCAGACUAGAGGUAGGCAGGGGAGAGCGGAACUCCUGGUGUAGCGGUGGAAUGCGCAGAUAUCAGGAAGAACACCGGUGGCGAAGGCGGCUCUCUGGGCCUUACCUGACGCUGAGGAGCGAAAGCGUGGGGAGCAAACAGG
rnacentral:rRNA from 1 species